GAUGAACGCUGGCGGCGUGCCUAAUACAUGCAAGUCGAGCGAACGGACGAGAAGCUUGCUUCUCUGAUGUUAGCGGCGGACGGGUGAGUAACACGUGGAUAACCUACCUAUAAGACUGGGAUAACUUCGGGAAACCGGAGCUAAUACCGGAUAAUAUUUUGAACCGCAUGGUUCAAAAGUGAAAGACGGUCUUGCUGUCACUUAUAGAUGGAUCCGCGCUGCAUUAGCUAGUUGGUAAGGUAACGGCUUACCAAGGCAACGAUGCAUAGCCGACCUGGGAGGGUGAUCGCCCACACGGGAACUGAGACACGGUCCAGACUCCUACGGGAGGCAGCAGAAGGGAAUCUUCCGCAAUGGGCGAAAGCCUGACGGAGCAACGCCGCGUGAGUUAUGAAGGUCUUCGGAUCGUAAAACUCUGUUAUUAGGGAAGAACAUACGUGUAAGUAACUGUGCACAUCUUGACGGUACCUAAUCAGAAAGCCACGGCUAACUACGUG
rnacentral:rRNA from 1 species